GUAGGUGGCAAGCGUUGUCCGGAAUUAUUGGGCGUAAAGCGCGCGCAGGUGGUUCUUUAAGUCUGAUGAGAAAGCCCCCGGCUCAACCGGGGAGGGUCAUUGGAAACUGGGGAACCUGAGUGCAGGAGAGGAAAGUGGAAUUCCACGUGUAGCGGUGAAAUGCGUAGAUAUGUGGAGGAACACCAGUGGCGAAGGCGACUUUCUGGCCUGUAACUGACACUGAGGCGCGAAAGCGUGGGGAGCAAACAGGGAUUAGAUACCCUGGUAGUCCACGCCGUAAACGAUGAGUGCUAAGUGUUGGGGGGGUUUCCCGCCCCUCAGUGCUGCAGCUAACGCAUUAAGCACUCCGCCUGGGGAUACGGUCGCAAGACUG
rnacentral:rRNA from 1 species